GACGAACGCUGGCGGCGUGCUUAACACAUGCAAGUCGAACGGAAAGGCCCUGCUUUCGUGGGGUGCUCGAGUGGCGAACGCGUGAGUAACACGUGAGUAACCUGCCCUUGACUUUGGGAUAACUUCAGGAAACUGGGGCUAAUACAGUAUAGGAGCUCCUGCUGCAUGGUGGGGGUUGGAAAGUCUCGGCGGUUGGGGAUGGACGGGCGGCUGAUCAGCUAGCUGGUUGGGUAGUUGCUUACCAAGGCUUUGACGGGUACGCGGCCUGGGAGGGUGACCGGCGUCAAUGGUACUGAGAUAGGGACCAGACGGCUAUGGGAGGCAGCAGUGGGAAGUAUUGCACAGUGAGCGCAAGCGUGAUGCGGAGGCGCUGCGUGCGUGAAGACGUCCUGUGGGGUGUAAACAGCUUUCGCCUGUGACGAAGCGUGAGUGACGGUAACGGGUAAAGAAGCACCGGCUAACUACGUG
rnacentral:rRNA from 1 species